rnacentral:lncRNA from 1 species
AGAACGUACCUACUAAUGAUAAAAGUCCAAGUGGAGGUCUGAGUUUGAGAGCCAAAUGACCUGCUGAUUGAAUUGCAGAACCGGGCCAACUUUUUCAAGCACUCUUCAUUCAGUCUAGAUUAGAAGAGGCAAAAAUUGAAGACCUACAUAGGUAAAAAUUGGCUCAUGAAGACUUUUAUUUAAGGAGUAUUGCCAAAGAUAGUUUCUUGAAGCAUGUACAUUUUUACUGAAAACUGCCUUUUUCUGGUUUAAAGCUGCUCUUUGAAAAUUCAUAAAAUGUUUAUAUUUUUAUGGUACUGUACAUUUGUGUGUAUCAUUUAUAAAAAUUCAGAAGA